GUGCAGUCCUCUAUUGUGUUUAUUGAUCUUAAUAAGAGUCCACCAAGCUGUUAAGUGAUGGGAGCCCACACAUAAAAUCAACCAUGUGUUCCUGGUAGAUGAUCGGCUCUGGUGAUUCAUGGUAAUAGCUUCAUAUCAGCGGUGAAGAUAUCUCUACAGCUCAGCAAAGCAUACACAACACAGUCAGCUGCGGUAGAAUACAACUUUCGGAAUGACUUGAAGGACACUUUACAAAGGGUUUGUAAAUUGUAUAAAUGGGCUGAUUAAUAUUAAUAUCGCCCCAUAAAUCAAUAAAAAGUCGUUUUAAGCAGGUGACCGGGUUUUAACCAGGUCCCUCUGUAACUUGUAUUGUCUUUUUAGCUGUCUUGUUAUCAGAGCGUGACGGACUAAUGGUCCUGUAUCAGUGACCUCCUAACAUCUGUAUCUUCAGAUUUGAUGGCUCAUUAGGAAGUGAGGAAAAGGGUGAUGAGUUAGGAGACAUUGCAGUAUUGUAACAAAUGUUGGCCCUUACUGAGGGUUUCUCUACCACUCCAUCUGAAGCUGGGAAUGUUAAAAGUUGCAUUUAAAGAGCUAAAUAACUCUACGUGUAGGCACUAUGAAUAGUGCAUUCAACUAAACACUGACAGCACUGUGCUGAUGUUCUCACAGUGACAAUGCUAACAUGCAGCAUAUUCAGAGGGUCUCUGUGUUGUGGUGGAAGCCUGUUAUUAGUUUGCGUUAGUGGACCCCGUUAACUAACAUCAGCUACAGUUGCUCUCUGUUAGCUACGAGGCAUACCAGAGUGUGCACAGUCACAUGGGAAAAAGUGACCUGAGUCUUUCAUAGAGAAAUCCACUGUCCAGCAUCGAUGAAAACAACUCAGCAUUGGUUUUGCACUGGUUAGGCACUGAGCUUGUUUUACCAUGCGGCUGUUACCAUGGUUACACUGGCCUGUUUACCCUGACAAGACUGAUGUACUGGCUGCCAACAUCCCUGUUUGUAAAAUACACUGGAAAGUCUGGGAAGAGCUCAGCACCAAAGCCUAACGAGAAGUAGAAGGCACCGACUGCGCCCAGCAGCAGUAGGAGGGCCCCGGCGAUGAGCACUGCGAUCCCGGCCUUCAGGAGGCGGCCGGUGGCGGCGGGUUUCACGGCCACGGCGGAGUAGGCCUACGGCAAGACAGACAAGCCAAGAAAUAAAUAAAAUAAGACAUGUUCAUACAUUCAA